CACAACUUAAUAUUAAUAUUGGCGAUGGUGAUUCCUGGAAUACAUAUACAUAUGCACAUUCGGUCAAGGGCCGUUUGCCGUUACAGUACGGGCGAGAUGUAUGGAUCUUCGAAUUAAUUGGAUCGUCUUCACCACCACCUGGUGCCGUGAAAUUGAGAGUGGUUGUCCCUUGUCGUUAAUAUGCGGCUAUUGGCCAACACUAAUGGGACAAGGGCCACUCGACGGGUUGAUUAACGGAUGCACCCGGAAUCACCACACACGAAUAUGUCCUUUUUGGCCGAUAAUUAGUUUGGUAAAGAGAAAAAAAAAAAAUCAGAUAAAUGCAGACUUACAUAUUCAUUAACGAAACGGGACCGGGGGCUGAACAACCGGACGGCCAGGAGAGAUUCGCAGCAGCACACAGCGGAUUCACUGGGUGAUCCUCGAGGUAUACUAGAUUUUCCUUUAUAUCGUGUAGAUCGAAUCGGUUUCCAUGCGGAGGUGUGCCGUUGAUGGGCGAUGUUGAAUUCCCAGACAACAAAGGAUGAAAUAACCAUGCGGUCGUCCACUCGAAACUUGUAUCACCAGGACACUACUCUGCCUGGUGCCGCCGUGAUCCAAUCACGACCUUUCGCGCCGUGUUUACCGCUUGCGAUGCUGCGUGCGAUUCUCUGUUUGUGCGUCGUGUGCCUGGCCAUUCGGGUGUCCACUUUCGGCCAUUUUUUUAUUUUUAUGAAUUGUAAUGAGAAAAAAAAAAUUGUAUUUUAAAUGCAUCAAUAAAUAAAAUUAGUUAUGACCUUU